CAAAUUAGAGCUUGGUAUAAGUAUUUCAUUUACAUUGAAUUGAUAUUGAAAUUUUCAAUUAAUUUGA
rnacentral:tRNA from 1 species